UACGAAGGGGGCUAGCGUUGCUCGGAAUCACUGGGCGUAAAGCGCACGUAGGCGGCUUGUUAAGUCAGGGGUGAAAAUCCUGGAGGCUCAAACUCCAGAACUGCCUUUGAUACUGGCGAGCUUGAGUUCGGGAGAGGUGAGUGGAACUGCGAGUGUAGAGGUGAAAUUCGUAGAUAUUCGGCGGAACACCAGUGGCGAAGGCGACUCACUGGCCCGAUACUGACGCUGAGGCGCGAAAGCGUGGGGAGCAAACAGGG
rnacentral:rRNA from 1 species